UGCAAGUCGAGCGAACAGAAGGGAGCUUGCUCCCGGAUGUUAGCGGCGGACGGGUGAGUAACACGUGGGUAACCUGCCUGUAAGACUGGGAUAACUCCGGGAAACCGGAGCUAAUACCGGAUAGUUCCUUGAACCGCAUGGUUCAAGGAUGAAAGACGGUUUCGGCUGUCACUUACAGAUGGACCCGCGGCGCAUUAGCUAGUUGGUGGGGUAAUGGCUCACCAAGGCGACGAUGCGUAGCCGACCUGAGAGGGUGAUCGGCCACACUGGGACUGAGACACGGCCCAGACUCCUACGGGAGGCAGCAGUAGGGAAUCUUCCGCAAUGGACGAAAGUCUGACGGAGCAACGCCGCGUGAGUGAUGAAGGUUUUCGGAUCGUAAAGCUCUGUUGUUAGGGAAGAACAAGUGCGAGAGUAACUGCUCGCACCUUGACGGUACCUAACCAGAAAGCCACGGCUAACUACGUGCCAGCAGCCGCGGUAAUACGUAGGUGGCAAGCGUUGUCCGGAAUUAUUGGGCGUAAAGGGCUCGCAGGCGGUUUCUUAAGUCUGAUGUGAAAGCCCCCGGCUCAACCGGGGAGGGUCAUUGGAAACUGGGAAACUUGAGUGCAGAAGAGGAGAGUGGAAUUCCACGUGUAGCGGUGAAAUGCGUAGAGAUGUGGAGGAACACCAGUGGCGAAGGCGACUCUCUGGUCUGUAACUGACGCUGAGGAGCGAAAGCGUGGGGAGCGAACAGGAUUAGAUACCCUGGUAGUCCACGCCGUAAACGAUGAGUGCUAAGUGUUAGGGGGUUUCCGCCCCUUAGUGCUGCAGCUAACGCAUUAAGCACUCCGCCUGGGGAGUACGGUCGCAAGACUGAAACUCAAAGGAAUUGACGGGGGCCCGCACAAGCGGUGGAGCAUGUGGUUUAAUUCGAAGCAACGCGAAGAACCUUACCAGGUCUUGACAUCCUCUGACAACCCUAGAGAUAGGGCUUUCCCUUCGGGGACAGAGUGACAGGUGGUGCAUGGUUGUCGUCAGCUCGUGUCGUGAGAUGUUGGGUUAAGUCCCGCAACGAGCGCAACCCUUGAUCUUAGUUGCCAGCAUUUAGUUGGGCACUCUAAGGUGACUGCCGGUGACAAACCGGAGGAAGGUGGGGAUGACGUCAAAUCAUCAUGCCCCUUAUGACCUGGGCUACACACGUGCUACAAUGGACAGAACAAAGGGCUGCGAGACCGCAAGGUUUAGCCAAUCCCAUAAAUCUGUUCUCAGUUCGGAUCGCAGUCUGCAACUCGACUGCGUGAAGCUGGAAUCGCUAGUAAUCGCGAU
rnacentral:rRNA from 1 species